GCUACUUACGCUAGCCAUGGGAUGAUUAGAACAAGAUAAGAGACAUGAGGAAGACUUCUUCAAGGAGGUGCUCAAGCCAUGUUUUGGAAAAGAGAACUCAAGGUCUGGCAGGGAGAAAGGAGCAAGGUCCUCUUCUCCCUGAAGGCUGUCACAGUUCCUGUGCAGAGAGAGAGGGCACUGCAGCACCCAGGCGCUGACUGCCUUUUGUCAGUCUCAUUUGCAGGCCCCCAGCUGGAGAACCCAGGAGGAAGAGGAAAAAAGUUUUUUCCUCCUCUACACUCCCCAUGCAUGACUAAAGAGUAGGAGGAGUCAGCAAGGCAGACAUAUAUAGUACCCAGGAGGUGGACAAACAACUGCCUUGGUGGAAACUCUGUCCUUUCUGGACUUAUCCUGGUGCCACUGAGACUGUGCAGGUCCCACACUUACAGGGAAAGCAUCACCCGAAAGUGAGAAUGCCUAGAGGCAGGAAUCAUGGAGGCUUCCUUAACCGUCUGUCUGCAACAGCAGGACACCAGCCAUCAGGCCUCCCAGAUAGAGUCAAGGAAUGGAAACUUACCCAGUCACCACAUCUGGGAAACACCAGACCCCUUGCCCAUCAUGAUUGCCUAACUGCUGCCUGUGGAUCAGCUCUUCUUCCUUAUCCCCUCCCUCAUUCCUGUUUUCCCACACUUAGUUGCAUUUCUUCCCUGCUAUAUAGACUCCGAAUUUUAGUCAGCUGAGGAGACAAAUUUGAAACUGAUCUUCCAUUCUCCAUCGCUGCAGCACCUGAAUAAAGCCUUCUUCCCUGGCAAUA
rnacentral:lncRNA from 10 species